rnacentral:lncRNA from 1 species
ACAGGCAUGAUUUGACAGGAUAAUGCCCUCACUUGAUAAAAGGAGAGACUCUCUGUCAGCUGCCCGCAUCCUCCCUGAAGCUCUGGAAUCUGACUUCAUGGAGCAUUUGAGCAGCUAAGCUUUUCCUGACCCCCUCCCUCCCACCACCACUCCCGCCUUCCCCCAGUUGCUGAGCAUAAUUGAGAAUUAAUUGCAUGUCUGCUUAUUAUUUUGCUUACUUAAUUUGGUCUAAACGUUGUUCACACUCCAGACUUAAGGCCUGGAAGUGGCUGUCUUCAGAGUUCCUAAGAAGCAAUGGACAAAGACCCAGAGUCUGUGCUGGGGGCCUUGGAAGGCUCUAAACCCUGAGCAGCAGUUUACAGAAGAGGCGAACAAUAUGGAUAUGGAGACAAUCUCUGAGACUUGGGAGUGCUCUCCUGUAGGAUCCAAGACUUCUCAUCUUUCCGAUGCGAACUGAAUUAUGCUAGCAUGUCAACCAGGACAUUUCAGAGAAGCAUCGAACAGAAACGUGUUAGUAAACCUCUUACCAGAACACCCUCACUAUCGAUUUUUUUUUGUCACUAAAACACAAACCAGCAUGGGACAUUAAACAGGACCUUUGGUAUUUGGUGUUGGGAAAAUGCCCCCUUGGAUCUAGAGCUCUUUAGGAGUAAUGGCUUCCCGAAAAGAACUAUAGAGAAAAAGAAGGCAGAAUAACCCAGGUGCCUGAGCAUCUUUGAGGAGGCCCCGAUGUGACUACCUGAAACCAGUCUAUGUCAGCACUUCUUGCUACCUGAGAUAUACAUUAUUCAUGGUUUAAGCCAUUCUGAGUCAGGACUUUUUUUUUAUUGAAACUCGGAGCUGGAAAUAGCCAAGUUUACCCACCAAGAAUAACAUCUGGAUUAUGAACCCUGGAAAUAUAACCACUGUCAUUUUGUGUCCCUGGACUAUAUUAAGCUCUACCACAUGGUUUCCAACUUGAGAGUCACUUAGGUUGUCUGUACAGGUGUAUGAGGAAAAGAAAAUCUUAUUUAUGAAUGGAGUGUGGUGAUACACCCUAUCCCGAGCUUUUGUCCCCACCAGCAAGAACAUGCUCAGGACAACCGGAAUCUUCUGCGGCAAAAGCUUUAUUGCUUACUUCUUUAGGAACAAGAGGAGAAGAAUAGGGGCGAAUGGCAAAACCCUGUCCCUUUUAUGGAGGAUUGUCCUCCGCCUCGGACAUGUCGCUCCCUGAUUGGCUGCAGCCCAUCAACCGAGUUGUCGUCAAGGGGAAGGCAGAGCACAUGGAGUGGAGAACUACCCCGGCACAUGCGCAGAUUAUUUGUUUACUACUUAGAACACAGGAUGUCGGCGCCAUCUUGUAAUGGUGAAUGUGAGGGUGGCUCCUCACAACAUCCCUUUAAUCCCAGUACUGAAGGCAGAGGCAGGUGGAUUUCUGAGUCUGAAGACAGCCUGGUAUAGAGAGCUAGUUCCAGGGCUAUACAAGAAGACUCUGUCUUGCAAAAAAUGAAACAAAACAAAAUAAAACAAAUGAAUAAACAAAAAGAAA